rnacentral:lncRNA from 1 species
CCUCCUAAAUACACUUCACAACAUCAUGGGCUUAAAGAACAAAUGGGCCUCACUUGAAUUAACUUGAAUAACCCACGAACCUGAAACACUUAAUAAACCCAUUAGUGCACACUUAUCAUUCAAGCCUCAAAUCCGAUUUGCAACCCAUUUUUUUUUUACAUUCUUGAGCUCAAAACAGACCCUCAAAUAACUUUCUUUUAGCAAGACUCAAUUUACUCAUGAACAUGCUUUAGGGACCCAGAAUGAUAAUUAACAUAUGAGUACUUGGAAGUAUUAACAUAAAAUCAUUCAAAAAUAUGUACCUUGAGUCUCUCUCUCGUCUGUGUUCUGUGCCAACCAUUUGUUCAGGACAGAGCUAGAAACUACCACAACCUUCUGAAUCUUUGACAGAUCAGCUCUGAGUUCAGUGGCUAGUCUUUCACUCUGGCAUACCUUUAACUCAAGCUUCCA